rnacentral:lncRNA from 1 species
CAGAACCCUGGGAACCAUUGUUAAAGCCAUCACACUCUAGGAAUGGCCAUCUCCUAGGCUCAGUUUGCCAGUGAGGGUCAACAACAAACACCACUUAGCUGCUUCUCCACUUUGAGAGGCUGCAGCCUCAGGACCCCAGAUUAUUUUGGAAAGAAAAAUUCACAUACCACGUUCUCGGUCUGUAAAAGCUAUAAGUGUCCUGGAGGGUUUCCUGAACAAGGUCCCAAAGGAAGAGUUGGAUUGUCAUACUCAAACAGGCUUUGCUGAUAUUCAGGAGCAUCCAUUCUUUCAAAAUGUUGACUGGGACAUGAUAGAGCAAAAAGCAAGUGAUACUGCCCUUUAAACCAAACAUUUCUAGGGAAUUUUAUUUGGACAAUUUUGAUCCUCAGUUUACUAAGGAAUCUGUCUGGCUCAUUCCAGAUAAUGACAUUGUGAGGAACAUUGAUCGAUAAGAAUUUGCAGGUUUUGAGUAUAUCAAUUGUCUUUUGACGUAUGAAGAAGAGUGUCUGAUGCUCAUUUCUCAACUAUGCAUUCUGC